rnacentral:rRNA from 1 species
ACACUCCUGCGGGAGGCAGCAGUGGGGAAUUUUGGACAAUGGGCGCAAGCCUGAUCCAACCAUGCCGCGUGCGGGAAGAAGGCCUUCGGGUUGUAAACCGCUUUUGUCAGGGAAGAAAAGGUUCUGGCUAAUACCUGGGACUCAUGACGGUACCUGAAGAAUAAGCACCGGCUAACUACGUGCCAGCAGCCGCGGUAAUACGUAGGGUGCAAGCGUUAAUCGGAAUUACUGGGCGUAAAGCGUGCGCAGGCGGUUAUGCAAGACAGAGGUGAAAUCCCCGGGCUCAACCUGGGAACUGCCUUUGUGACUGCAUGGCUAGAGUACGGUAGAGGGGGAUGGAAUUCCGCGUGUAGCAGUGAAAUGCGUAGAUAUGCGGAGGAACACCGAUGGCGAAGGCAAUCCCCUGGACCUGUACUGACGCUCAUGCACGAAAGCGUGGGGAGCAAACAGGAUUAGAAACCCUGGUAGUCCCA